CCUACGGGGGGCAGCAGUGAGGAAUAUUGGUCAAUGGGCGGGAGCCUGAACCAGCCAAGUCGCGUGAGGGAAGACGGUCCUAUGGAUUGUAAACCUCUUUAGUCGGGGAGCAAUGCCGGGCACGCGUGCCCGGCGGGAGAGUACCCGCAGAAUAAGCAUCGGCUAACUCCGUGCCAGCAGCCGCGGUAAGACGGAGGAUGCGAGCGUUAUCCGGAUUUAUUGGGUUUAAAGGGUGCGUGGGCGGAUUUUUAAGUCAGCGGUAAAAUGUCCGGGCUCAACCCGGGCCGGCCGUUGAAACUGGGGAUCUUGAGUGGGCGAGAAGGAUGCGGAAUGCGUGGUGUAGAGGUGAAAUGCAUAGAUAUCACGCAGAACUCCGAUUGCGAAGGCAGCAGACCGGCGCCCGACUGACGCUGAGGCACGAAAGCGUGGGGAUCGAACAGGAUUAGAUACCCGUGUAGU
rnacentral:rRNA from 1 species